rnacentral:lncRNA from 1 species
CGGGAACAUAGCCUCGAAGUAUCUCCCCUUAAGAUACUUAUCAAACAGGGGUGCCUGCGCGCUCAGUUGCAGGAAGAAGCUGCUGCAGCUGAGGUUGAGGAGGUUGCUGCCUGUGUUCUUCUCAAGGAUUUUGAUGGAUUCCUGUCUCACAUUCAGAUUUCUGCCAUGCCUUAUAGCCUGGGAUGAGAACAAUCAAACAACCUCUGCCGAACCCAUGAUUUUACUGGGUGACCCGGAAUGAAAGGUAUGGAAAACCCCCGGUUAAUUUUGAUUUUGGAUCAAAUAAGUAUCUACCAUCUGGAAACUCAAAAUAAUGUGAAUAGUGGUGGUGACUGUGGGUAGCAUUCCAAGACAUUUUUCAAUCAGAGGCUUUUUCCAAGAAUAUUAUCCUUUGAAAAAGAUCCUUUAAAAAAAAAGUGUUAGAAUUCUUAAUAUCAUAGAAGGUAAGGAAGCUUAUCUCCCCCAGGGCCAAACAGGAUCUUAGGGAAAGUGACAAAAGAAGGUCAAGGAAUCUAGUCUGAUCUCUGUACCCCUCAAUACUUCAGUUUCUUCCCUGGUAAAUUAAAUAUAACCAUGCCUCUCCUAUUACCUACUUCACAACAUUAUUCUAAGGAUAGUAACAUGGAAGAUAACUUCAGGGUGUUAUAUAAAAUGUAAGCUGUUCUCAGGGCGCC